UUGUAUGGAAAAGGGGUGCUUCGGAUCGGGAGUAAUCACUAGUUUUAGGGCGGGGGGAAGGACAAAGGAAAGAGCGAUGCCUACAUUAAAUCAGUUGAUCCAGGAUUCGAUUCGAGGCUUGAACGCAACACAAGAGCUAAUAAGCAUGAGGUUGGCCGCCUAAUAAUCCUAGAUCUUUCUAUUUUCAAGAAGAUCUCAGGCUUAGUCAGGAGCUAGCUUUCAAUCUCCCACUCCUACUGAUACUACUCCUGAUACAAUCUUGCUUGGAAAAAACCGUUGCCGAAGAAACUUCAUGUUUACCAUUGUAACUGACCCAUACAUUCUCUGUGGAGUCUCCCAGAUUUCUCAUGCGGACCCAAUGUCUCCCACUGAAACUAGUACCUUAUCCUUGACCACCAUUACAUU
rnacentral:lncRNA from 1 species